CAGGGAAUCUUGCGCAAUGGGCGAAAGCCUGACGCAGCAACGCCGCGUGGGGGAUGAAGGCCUUCGGGUUGUAAACCCCUUUCAGGAGGGAAGAAAUUGACGGUACCUCCAGAAGAAGGACCGGCCAACUACGUGCCAGCAGCCGCGGUAAUACGUAGGGUCCUAGCGUUAUCCGGAAUCAUUGGGCGUAAAGAGCUCGUAGGCGGUUCAGCAAGUCGGCUGUGAAAGUCCGAGGCUCAACCUCGGAAUUGCAGUCGAUACUGCUGUGACUCGAGUCCGGUAGAGGAGAAUGGAAUUCCCGGUGUAGCGGUGAAAUGCGCAGAUAUCGGGAGGAACACCAGUAGCGAAGGCGGUUCUCUGGGCCGGCACUGACGCUGAGGAGCGAAAGCGUGGGGAGCAAACAGGAUUAGAUACCCCCGUAGUCC
rnacentral:rRNA from 1 species